CACGCCCUAAACGAUGGUCACUAGACGUCGGGAUUUCCAAUAGUCUCGGUGUCGCAGCUAACGCAUUAAGUGACCCGCCUGGGAAGUACGGUCGCAAGAUUAAAACUCAAAGAAAUUGACGGGGGCCCGCACAAGCGGUGGAACAUGUGGUUCAAUUCGAUGCUACGCGAAAAACCUUACCUGGGCUUGACAUCCCACGCUAACCUAAGAAAUUAGGCGUUCCCUUCGGGGACGUGGAGACAGGUGC
rnacentral:rRNA from 1 species